AACCUUUUAUCUCAGUUGGUUAGAGCGCGUGACUCAUUAUCACUUAGUCGCUGGCUCAACCUAAGUAAGGUUCGCCA
rnacentral:tRNA from 1 species